AGAAUCAACGCUGGCGGCGUGCCUAACACAUGCAAGUCGAACGAGAAAGUGGUAGCAAUACCAUGAGUAAAGUGGCGCACGUGUGAGUAACACGUGACUAACCUACCUUCGAGUGGGGAUAACCUCGGGAAACCGAGGCUAAUACCGCAUAACAUCGCAAGAUCAAAGCAGCAAUGCGCUGGAAGAGGGGGUCGCGGCUGAUUAGCUAGUUGGCGGGUAACGGCCCACCAAGGCGAAGAUCGGUA
rnacentral:rRNA from 1 species